rnacentral:tRNA from 1 species
GGGAGCAGAAGGGUGCUGGUGUGCCUGCCGGACUUCAAAUCCGGUUCCUCGUCCAAAAGACGAGGGGUGGGUUCGAUUCCCACAUGCUCCCGCCA